UACGUAGGGUGCAAGCGUUGUCCGGAAUUAUUGGGCGUAAAGAGCUCGUAGGCGGCCUGUUGCGUCCGCUGUGAAAUCCCGGGGCUCAACCCCGGGCCUGCAGUGGAUACGGGCUGGCUGGAGGCAGGCAGGGGAGAACGGAAUUCCUGGUGUAGCGGUGAAAUGCGCAGAUAUCAGGAGGAACACCGGUGGCGAAGGCGGUUCUCUGGGCCUGUACUGACGCUGAGACGCGAAAGCGUGGGGAGCGAACAGG
rnacentral:rRNA from 1 species